AUUGAACGCUGGCGGCAGGCCUAACACAUGCAAGUCGAGCGGAGCGGCGGACGGGUGAGUAAUGCCUGGGAAUCUGCCUGGUAGUGGGGGAUAACGUCCGGAAACGGGCGCUAAUACCGCAUACUAUCAGAUGAGCCUAGGUCGGAUUAGCUAGUUGGAGGGUUAAAGGUCUACCAAGGCGACGAUCCUUAACUGGUCUGAGAGGAUGAUCAGUCACGCUGAAACUAAGACACGGUCCAGUCUCCUCAGGAGGGCAGCAGUGGGGAGUAUUGAAGAAGGGGAAAAAGCCUGAUCCAACCAUGCCGCGUGUGUGAAGAAGGUCUUCGGAGUGUAAAACACUUUAAGUAGGGAGGCGUUACCAACAGAAUAAGCGCCGGCUAACUGCGUGCCAGCAGCCGCGGUAAUAC
rnacentral:rRNA from 1 species